rnacentral:rRNA from 1 species
CUACGGGUUGCACCAGUGAGGAAUAUUGCACAAUGGAGGAAACUCUGAUGCAGCAACGCCGCGUGGAGGAUGACGCAUUUCGGUGUGUAAACUCCUUUUAUAUGUCAAGAAAAUGACGGUAGCAUAUGAAUAAGCACCGGCUAACUCCGUGCCAGCAGCCGCGGUAAUACGGAGGGUGCAAGCGUUACUCGGAAUCACUGGGCGUAAAGGACGCGUAGGCGGGAUAUCAAGUCAGGUGUGAAAUCCUAAAGCUUAACUGUAGAACUGCACUUGAAACUGGUAACCUAGAGUAUGGGAGGGGGAGAUGGAAUUAGUGGUGUAGGGGUAAAAUCCGUAGAUAUCACUAGGAAUACCUAAAGCGAAGGCGAUCUCCUGGAACAUAACUGACGCUAAGGCGUGAAAGCGUGGGGAGCAAACAGGAUUAGAUACCCCAGUAGUC